AAACGUCAGGAAAUGCCGAUUUUAGACAAUGUGAAACUACCACGAGUGCGAUCAUCAGGGGACUUUGUGGCUCCGCUACUUUCUAAAUGGCACAAUCGGGUUAAUGUUUGCCUUAUUUCCAACUGUCGCACAAAUUGAUGGUGGUAUAAUUGUGCAACUUUGGCUUUGUUACAGUUGGGGCGUAACUGAGCUCCAGACAAAAAGAGUGAGAGACAGACUCUUUGGCUGACACGUCGGACAUAAAAUAUGAGGGAGGGAAGUGCGUGGUGUCGGCUGAUAACGAUAUGACUCAAGAAAAGGGAUUUCCAGGUGUUAUAGACAGGCAGGGGUGGAGAGGUGCUAGUGGAAGAACCCAGAAUAGGACAAGUAUCAAUUUCAGGGAUGUAGCUAAAAUGUGUGCGGAUGAAGCCAUUAAAGGUCAGAAAAAGUUCAGAAAAACUUGUUAUUCAAUUGCAGAUGAAGCUGACCGGACUGUAACACAAUUUGAUCCAACCCCAAACCACUUCUUUUAGUCGGAUCAAAUUUUGGCUCUUUGGUCCAGACAUGCUGUCUCAGACACUUUUCACACCGGCUAUUUUGGUUCGGACCAAACAAGAACACCGGAUAGACUGCGGUGAAUGGCCAAACAAGAUCAAAUGCCAUGAGUCAACAUGUUUGGAGGCCAGCCCUCUGUGGCACACCACAGACACAGAGAGAAGGGGAAAGGAGUGGACGACAGGGUGAGUAAAAAGAGAGAGAAAAGAUGUCAGCACGCUUCUAUGUACACUACACUCAAUGUAUUUAGUGACUCAUCGGGUCUGCCUGGACCUCAGUGCUCUGCGUGAUGCUGGGCCCGGGCAUCAUGGCUGAAAUGUAUCUAAAAUGCAAUAGCCUUGCACCUAAUAUUUACUCAGUCCAGAUGAGCGUUCCGAAAGAAAGCCAGAGCAACACGGCCAAACAUCAGCGUGACAUGCCAAGAACAACCUCUUUAUGUUGCUUUGCACCCUGGCUCACCUUGUGCAAGAAUAUAUCCUCAUGGUGUCCCGUAUACGUGUUUGCACGCACGUCCUUAACAGACUUCUCCCAAAAGUCAAAGUUGCCUGCAUUUCAGUGCCAGGGAUGAGUGGAUUUCCUCCCAGAUGACUUAAAGAAGUUCCUAAAAGUAAAACAAGUUUCAACUUAACCUAAAAAAAAAAAACAUGCAGCCAUUUUUCCCCUUCUCCCUGUGGCAACGUAUGCAGAGUGCAGUGCCGAGGUUCAAAGAUAAGCUAGAGGGCAUGUGCCAAACUUGCAGCAAGAGAAAGCACAAGGAAAGAAAGGAAGUCAAUAGCAAGGUGAUGAGAACUACAGUAGGUUGAAACAUAAACACCUCCAUCAUAUCAUCUCACCUGCUUGUCACUGUUACUCCAUCGCAAAGCAGUGUUGUACCUGAA